AGCCAACCUUGGAUCAAGAGACUCGGUACAGCGAAUUUAAAAGACUAUAUGAUGUGUAGCAUCUAAAAAAAUUAUGAAGACUAGUCCCUUAUGUCUCUCCACUCAAUCCCAUUUUAAGGGGGGUAGUACCUUGAUAUCACGGGAUGAUGCAUUUUUAAUUUAUCUUGAAGUGAGAGUUGUCUCUUGAGAUAUUCUAUGAUUAUGGUCAUCUAUAAGAAGUUUAAGUUUUGUCAACAUUGAUCUUCGGUUCCUGCCACCCUUAGUUGUGAGAUCAAUUUUCACCAUAUACAUGAGACGUGAUGUGGAGCAUGGAAGUACUAUCUUCUUGGACAUAAAAAAAUGAAAAAAAAAUGACAUCAAGGUGGACCACAAUAAUCUAAAGGACGUAUUUAGUAAGUUGGUUUUGAGCUAGUGUCAUUGUUAUUGGGUUGGAAUUAACUAUUACUUGGAAUACUGGUGCUAUCAUUUAGAGAAGUAUAUGCAGAUACCGAUGCUCUUAGAGUGUGCUAUGAAAGUUCAGACGACACUAGGUUUGAGAAUUUGUGUGCGGAAUUUGAGUGAUGUCAUUAACACUACAAAUUUGUAAUUAAUAGAGCUCACUUGGGGAACAAGAUGAAUUGUGGAAUGUUAAUUGGACGAUGAAAGUAAUAAGGAGAAAGUUGAGUAUAUCAUGGUUGGAAGGACAUCAGGUUCUAAAUGGAUAGGUAAGGAACAUAUACCCCAGGAUGAGCUAGAGUAAAAAAAACCUUAUCUAUACAAAGUACACUACUAAACUCUUGGAAACAUUUGAUGGAGAUGUCUGGAGUGACCAAAGCAAUGGAAUGGCUACUAAGGAGCUACUCGAGGAAGUGAAUAAGGUUCAAAAGUGGAGUGUCCAUGUUUUCUUGAUCACCAUCUUUCGAAUCUCGAGGACGAGAUUCAUCUUAAGAGGGG
rnacentral:lncRNA from 1 species